CAGGCUGCUCAAUGCUAAAGGCCACGUCCUGUAGAGAGAUACCAAGUGUUCUGGGAUGCCCUGCAGGCCCAGCCCUGGACUGAAGCAGGAAGCGCACAUAGAUAAACACCUUCAUCUGCAAGGUAUUAUAUCUUUUAAAUUUUGAAGGUUUGUGGCAGGCUGGCAUUGGGAAAGUCCACUGAUGUCCUCUCUCCCCGUAUCAGAUGACAACCACAUUUCAGCACUGAAAUAGCUUGAUUACAGUAACCUGAAUUUACACACAGGAAAUGGCCAGCCAGCUGGGGCUG